CAGAGGUCUCAAGCGUUGUUCGGAAUCACUGGGCGUAAAGGGUGCGUAGACCGUGGGGUAAGUUUGCCGUGAAAUCUUCAGGCUCAACCUGAAAACUGCGGUGAAAACAGCCCUGCUAGAGGUAUGGAGGGGGAACUGGAAUUCUAGGUGUAGCAGUGAAAUGCGUAGAUAUCUAGAAGAACACCAGCGGCGAAAGCGAGUUCCUGGACAUUACCUGACGUUGAGGCACGAAAGCUAGGGGAGCAAACGGGAUUAGAUACCCCGGUAGUCCUAGCUGUAAACGGUGCGCAUUUGCUAUGGGUUCAUUUAGAUGAUUCCGUAGUGUAGCUAACGCGUUAAAUGCGCCGCCUGGGAAGUACGGUCGCAAGAUUA
rnacentral:rRNA from 1 species